rnacentral:tRNA from 2 species
GCCCCUGUGGUGUAGUCUGGUCAAGCAUUCAAGCCUCUCGAGCUUGGGACCGGGGUUCGAAUCCCCGCAGGGGCA